CCUACAUAGCCUUACAGGGUGCUUUUUUGUCUGCAAUAGACUGUAUGUUUAUAACGCCUUUGAAACAAAAAGGAAAGUGCUAAAAUGAAGAGUAUUUUAUUUCUUGUUUACUUCCUCUUUAUUCUAUGUUCCACGGAAGGUGGCGUGAACACAGAGCGAUCUUGUAUCCAAGAUUACCGGGCCUGUUUGAAGCAAUGUUUAACAAAGGAGUUUGGUGAAGCCUGUAGAGAAAGCUGUGAGAAAAGCGCUUCAUGUCAAGAACUUGGAGAAUGUCCAGAACACCCUGUUCAGCCAUGUUUAUUUCUGUUACCACUCCUUCCAACAGCGUGUUCAUCAGACCUUGACUGCCCUGAGUCCCAUCGAUGUUGUAGAUCUGGCCAAAUGGGCUGUAAGACGUCCUGUGUUGAAGUCAGGACCUGAGGAUUCAGAAACAGAUGAGUGACUGGAUGAGAUCUAUAGUUCCAGUUGGUUCAAUACUUUGAAUUUGGCAUUUGGAUACUGAAAAGUCAAGCUGCAAGACGAAAGAAAACCUGAUACUACUUUUAGUAUGAGAGAUGGUUUGUGUGAGUUUCACAUUGUGCAGUUCGGCCUUUCUGAGAAGCUAAUGAAACUUAUAUUAAAGUGGUUGCAAUGGAAAUGAUACCAAGUCUAAGUCGGUGAUAUUUUGGUAUUUGGUCGUACAUUCAAGUCUAUGGCUGAGAACCUGAUAAUGGAAUUUCUCAAUAACAUUGUAGAUUGAGAACAUUGCCAAAAUAAUAACAGUAAGAGAUUGGCCUCAACCUGAGACCAAAUGAGAAGUUUGCAUCUUCUUUGGUUUUGCAACAUAUUACUAAUGGUUUGUUGCCAAUUUCUCAGUGAUAGCAUCACCAUUGUCUGCUAUCAGUAAAACUGUGACACACUUUGAGUGAAGUGAGCAAAGUGAACAAGCAUUUGAUCCUCAAAGCUGGCUUUAGUGGAAGUUCCAGUGCUAUUAUCCAUGACAAGACAGUGAAUUCCUAUCAGACACUGAUGUUCAUGAUAAUGGAAUUGGAGCAGUAUAAUUGCAGUUAAGGUCAGAGUAGAAUAUUUAAUCACACUCAUGACUCUUGAACAUUGAUACUGAAUGACAAAGAAAUGAUUGUUUACAGUUGUAGAUUUCAUAAAAUUUAUUGUCACUUCUUGUACAGUAAGAGGUUUAUUGUUCAGAUCUACCAUAUUUGUAAAAAUGUUUGAUGAAGUUAAAGCCUUUUCCCAAAUGGCAUGUGUCACCCCUCUUUGUUUUCUUCUCACACUUAAAAUGCUUAACCAAAUUGCAUUAACUUUAGUGUACUCUUGGUUUACUAUUUGUCUAAUA